rnacentral:rRNA from 1 species
GGCGAACGCUGGCGGCGUGCUUAACACAUGCAAGUCGAACGGAAAGGCCCUGCUUUUGUGGGGUGCUCGAGUGGCGAACGGGUGAGUAACACGUGAGUAACCUGCCCUUGACUUUGGGAUAACUUCAGGAAACUGGGGCUCAUACCGGAUAGGAGCUCCUGAUGCAUGGUGGGGGUUGGAAAGUUUCGGCGGUUGGGGCUGGAAUCGCGGCUUAUCAGCUUGUUGGUGGGGUAGUGGCUUACAAAGGCUUUGACGGGUAGCCGGCCUGAGAGGGUGACCGGCCACAUUGGGACUGAGAUACGGCGCAGACUCCUACGGGAGGCAGCAGUGGGGAAUAUUGCACAAUGGGCGGAAGCCUGAUGCAGCAACGCCGCGUGCGGGAUGACGGCCUUCGGGUUGUAAACCGCUUUCGCCUGUGACGAAGCGUGAGUGACGGUAAUGGGUAAAGAAGCACCGGCUAACUACGUG